UGGGGAUGACGUCAAGUCCUCAUGGCCCUUAUGGGUAGGGCUUCACACGUCAUACAAUGGUCGGUACAGAGGGUUGCCAAGCCGCGAGGUGGAGCCAAUCCCAGAAAGCCGAUCGUAGUCCGGAUUGUUCUCUGCAACUCGAGAGCAUGAAGUCGGAAUCGCUAGUAAUCGCGGAUCAGCAUGUCGCGGUGAAUACCGGUUCCCGGGUCUU
rnacentral:rRNA from 1 species